rnacentral:lncRNA from 11 species
GGGGGAGCCGCCAAAAGCCCCAAAGCCCAAGCCAGCAACCGGGAGGCGCGCGGAAGAGGAGGUGCAGGCCCCAGAAUCUUCAGAAAAACUGAACUAUGAUGAAAGAAGAACCGAAGAGGAGGACGAAGAAAACGAGGGCGCCAUGUCAUGGAGCCAGAUCCCAGGGCUGAAUUUCCAAGCCCUGAAUCUGACUUCAUAACAUAAAACAACCCUGCAAGCACCUGGCGGGAGGAGAUAAAAUGAGCCUGGGAACUCAGAGUUGAAAGUAUAAACAAUUAUAAUUGCUGUAGUGUGUGGGAAUAGAAAUCAUGGUAGAAAUGUGAUCCCGAAGGUGGGGUUUGAUGAUGAUAUUUGCGUGUGAUAUUACGUUGCAUCAGAAGUGAUAAAAUUAGAUGUAUGUAAACAUUAGGUCAUUCUCGACUUUUCCAAAGUCAUGUAUUCUUCAAUAAAGAUUGAAUUUGAGAGCAGCUAUCUUUGAUCUGCGUUCAGACUGGUCCUUUGAAGUGAGCCU